rnacentral:piRNA from 1 species
AGUCUCCAGUCCUGACUGCAUGC